AGAAUGGGGUGGGGGGAAAAAACGGUGGAGCGGAAACGGCGUCAGGAGGCAUUUCUCAAGCGUCAGGGGGAAUUAAUGGCGAGGUAUUGCGGGCGCCUCCUUAUGAUCGGAUACGAGGGGCCGCGUAGGUGCUCGAGCAAAUGGCAGGAAAGAUCGGGCGCGCGACGGUGCCUGUAAAAUGUCGAGGAUUUAAAAGUUGUUGGAGA